UACGGAGGGUGCAAGCGUUGUCCGGAUUUAUUGGGUUUAAAGGGUGCGUAGGCGGCCGCUUAAGUCUGGGGUGAAAGCCCGUUGCUCAACAACGGAACUGCCCUGGAAACUGGUCGGCUUGAGUACAGACGAGGUUGGCGGAAUGGAUGCUGUAGCGGUGAAAUGCAUAGAUAGCAUCCAGAACCCCGAUUGCGAAGGCAGCUGACUAGGCUGUAACUGACGCUGAGGCACGAAAGCGUGGGGAGCGAACAGG
rnacentral:rRNA from 1 species